GACGAACGCUGGCGGCGUGCUUAACACAUGCAAGUCGAACGGAAAGGCCUGCUUUCCCUUGUGGAUUGCGGGUACUCGAGUGGCGAACGGGUGAGUAACACGUGAGUGAUCUGCCCCCAACUUGGGUAUAAGCCUGGGAAACUGGGUCUAAUUCCCGAUAGGACUGCAGGGUGGUGCCUGUGGUGGAAAACGAUUUUCUAGUGGUUGGGGAUGAGCUCGCGGCCUAUCAGCUUGUUGGUGGGGUAAUGGCCUACCAAGGCGGCGACGGGUAGCUGGCCUGAGGGGGUGGACGGCCACAUUGGGACUGAGAUACGGCCCAGACUCCUACGGGAGGCAGCAGUGGGGAAUAUUGCACAAUGGGCGGAAGCCUGAUGCAGCGACGCCGCGUGGGGGAUGACGGCCUUCGGGUUGUAAACUCCUUUCGACCGCGAGGAAGCCACCUGGUUGGAAGGGUGGUGACGGUAGUGGUAGAAGAAGCACCGGCUAACUACGUG
rnacentral:rRNA from 1 species